GUCCGGCUGACGAAUCCCAAAUAGAAUGAAACGUGCGUCCUGGAU
rnacentral:hammerhead_ribozyme from 1 species